UACGUAGGUGGCAAGCGUUGUCCGGAAUUAUUGGGCGUAAAGCGCGCGCAGGUGGUUUUAUAAGUCUGUUGUAAAAGCCCACGGCUCAACCGUGUAAGGUCAUUGGAAACUGUUAAACUUGAGUGCAGGAGAGAAAAGUGGAAUUCCUAGUGUAGCGGUGAAAUGCGUAGAGAUUAGGAGGAACACCAGUGGCGAAGGCGACUUUCUGGUCUGUAACUGACGCUGAGGCUCGAAAGCGUGGGGAGCGAACAGG
rnacentral:rRNA from 1 species